UUAUGGCCAUAUCACGUUGUAAAACCGGUUCCCCUACAAUCACCGGUUAAACAACGUGGAGCCUGGUCAGUAACUAGAUGGGUGACCGUCUGGGAAUACCAGGUACUGUAA